GGCUGGAGAGAUGGCUUAGCAGUUCUGAGCACUGUUGCUCUCACAGAGGAUGCAAGUUUGGUUCCCAGCACCCACACGGUGGCUCACAACCAUCUGUAACUCUCAUUCUAGGGGGUCUAACACCCCCUCCCGAUCUCUGCAGCACCAAACAUGUAUGCAGUGCACAUACAUGCAUGAUGGCAAAACACUCAAACAGAUUAAAAAACAUAAUUAAAUAAAGAUGAGGUACCUAUUAAUGUGAAAAGUGUGUGUAAACCAUAAAAACAUUUAGAACAGUGUAAUACAGAAACAAGGAUAAACAGGCCUUUGAAUGAGAUGAAGACCCAUAAACAAUCCUAAAUGUGGGUAUGCAGAACCUGUUGUGUGCUUUUCUUUGGUAGUGCAGCCACUGGUUUGGUUGCCCAAACUCUAAAUAAUCCCUCAUCUAUGCUCCUGUAAGUAAUCCUAAUCAAAUUCAUUGGUAGAAAUGCACGUGCACACAUGUACACACACACACACACACACACACACACACACACACACACACACACACACACACAGAAUGAUGUGGGAGUAGAAGGGGGACUAACUGGGAGGAAGAAGAGGAUCAGCAGGGUGGGAAGGGAGCGAGAGAGGACAGGAUAAUAAAGGGUAAUAAUACAAAAUGCAUUAUAUUCAGGAAUGAAAAUGUGACGAUGAAACCCAUUAUUGUCUAUAAUUGACAUUUGCUAACAAAAACCCUUUCAACUUCAAAACUGAUUAUGAUACCUUUAAGUCAUGAUAAAUAUUUUUCAAGGGCUUUUAUUUAUAUUCACAUUAAGGUUUAUAUCUAUACCAAGAGUAAACAAAAAGACUAACUAGUUUGCUCUGCAAAGCAUCUCUUGAUUGAUUUCUCAGCCACAUUUAGACCUGGGGAUGGUGGUUUCCCGAUUUACUUGUGUAUCUUGAAUUCCCCUUGUUCUGUAAGUGUCCCACAGUCUUCCUUGUUUACCAUUCAGUCUCCUGACAGCCAGGACUCCCUCUUUUUUCCAUGCUCUGUUUCCAGCACUCAGCUCUCAGUGGCAUCUCAUUUUAAUCCAUAGCUUUCCACGUCUCAGACACUGACUUCAGGAGCUUGGACUCAAUGUGGGGUUUUGGCUGAAGACAGUGGAGUGUACAGCGGCAUCUGGUCUCCUUACCCCACGGGGAUGGGAAGAGUGGGUGGGAGACCACAGCUCCAGGACCGGAGAUGCUAAAGUGAGAGGUGAAGGACAGGGAAUCAACAAUCGAAGCAAAGCUGAGGCCUAAACAGACAGGAAGAUGAGAACAGCCCGGAUCACCCCGAAGAAUUCCCUGAAAGCUAAGGAUUUGGAGUGUCAGGAAUCUGGAAGAAGAGGGGACAGUAGGGGGAAGGUGGUUAAAAUAAAAAAGAUUGAAAAUCUGAAAAAAAAAAAAGAAAAAAAGAAAAUCUGUUUAACAAAUAUUCAGGCUGUGGCUGUCGCCCAGGGUAGAACAUGUGGGGCCCUGGGUUCGAUCCUUAACACUAAAAAUCCCAAGCAAACCUCAAACAAAACAGAAACUUUCCAAAUAUGCAAGUUCCAUUCUUACUUUGAGCUGCUCGGCAAGUGCUCUAAGCCUGUUAACAAAGGACUCGAUCUUGCAAAAGUGUAAACCAGGCAUGGAUGGAAGUGGAGAUAAUACGCUAAGAAAAUGAAGAUAACUCCAACACAGGUAGAUUCCUUUUUACAUCAGUUUACAUAAUGCUGUCAGUGAGGUCUUUACCCUUCCUGAAGACCUCAAGAAAGCCUUUUCUAAGUCAUUUUACUACCUUGGGAACAGACUACACUAAAUUACUAGAUUAAGGCACCAUGAGGUUCAUGCCUACAGCUCUCCCUUCUCCCAGUUCUCAGGGCUCAGUUUUCAGCAGAAGAAAAGCAGGAACUAGGAGGAGAGGCUAAUUAAGAUAAUUAGCAUACACGGCAUGCAGUGGGUAAGAAAAAGCAAAGGAGUCCAGAAGCAACAAACUACAAAGAACCACCUUUUACAACUGAUGAUUAAAAAAACCCAAAAAACUGACGGUAAAGCCCUCAGCAAGGUAAAAAGAGAAUCUCAAGCUAACCAGAAGAGCUUAGCGUGAAGGGGCACCAAGGGAGGAGAGUGACAAAUGGAGACACACACAGCUCCAUGGUGCAGGAGGAAGGAGAUGAUGGAAACCAGGACCGGGUGGAGCAGAUGCCCAGUGCGGUUCUGAGGAAAGACCUGGAGGGCUGGGAAACCAACCAAGAAAACAGGAGAGAGAAUGGACCAGAAGCAACUGCAAGAACAAUUUCUAGAACAAAAGUCCUAUCUGGAGCUGGACAAAGAUUUCUUCCUAUGGCUAACUUUGGUCAGGCUCCCGGGAAUUUUUCCUUUUUCUUUUCGAAAGCAUAUUUAUUUUAUGUAAAUGAGUGUUGUGCUUUCGUAUCUAUAUGUGCACCAUGUGUGUCUCGUGCCUACAGUGUUCAGAAAGUGUAGGAUCCCCUGAACUUGAGUUCCAGGUGGUUGAGCCAUCAGGAGGGGCUGGGAACCUAACCUGGGUCCCCUGCAAGAGCAGCAGGUGCUCUGAACCACUGAGCCACCUCUCCAGCCCCCCAGGAGCUUUUCCCAAUGACAGGCCUUACGGAGCCUAAUCUGCUGUAACACGGCACUUCCAGCAUCCUGAGUGGGCCAGGCAGAGGGCAUCAGAGAAACAGGAAAAGCAGGACGGUUUCUCUGACCUCCUAAUGCCUUCUCUGCUUUGACUAGGUUUUCACACCUGUACGGACUUCUUGACUUUGCUCUGAGGCCCCAGCCUCACACUCAGACACAGAAGAACUCUUCUGAAGAAGAGUCUGAGCCAACAGGCCUUGCAGUUCCUAAGCCUGGGCCACCGCUUGUCCAGUCUCACUUCUCUAUGACUGCUGACUCCAUCGAAGAGCGUAAAAAUAGGCCGUGUUCCCUGUUAAUAUGGGUCUUUAUUUCCGAACACUCCAGUGUCUCCUAAAGACAUAGCUUUAAUUUUUCCCGUCAUUCUGCCCGUCGACACUAUUUUCCAACCUUGACAAGGCCCUAAGAAGACAGAGGACACGUUGCUCUCCUGUGCUGACCUAACACCGAGUUUCCCUCUCUGUCCUGGAGGCAGCUAAUCUGAGUAGUCAGAUCGGGAAGUGCUCUGCUGUCAAUACCGGAAGGACCCUAUGACUGGUUACUUCUUAGAUAGUCCGCAUGCUCUCAUCCUUAACUUGCUCCCCAUUUGCCCUUGCAGAGCUGGGGUGCAGCCCAGUCCCGCUAUUCCACAGUGAGACCCCACGGUAAUGUCCCUGCACCUAUUUCCAUGGACCCCUUUCAAUUAAAGUCUGUCUACAUUAACAAAGGUAGUUUUCUCCUUAUCAGGCCCUAGAACUACAAACUCACAAAAGCACUGAACUGUGAAAUCUCAGGAAAAGAGGGCUAAGAAGGAAUCCCCCCCCCCC